rnacentral:rRNA from 1 species
AGAGUUUGAUCCUGGCUCAGGAUGAACGCUAGCGACAGGCUUAACACAUGCAAGUCGAGGGGCAUCAUGAGGUAGCAAUACCUUGAUGGCGACCGGCGCACGGGUGAGUAACGCGUAUGCAACCUGCCCGAUACCGGGGUAUAGCCCAUGGAAACGUGGAUUAACACCCCAUAGUACUUUUAUCCUGCAUGGGAUGUGAGUUAAAUGUUCAAGGUAUCGGAUGGGCAUGCGUCCUAUUAGUUAGUUGGCGGGGUAACAGCCCACCAAGACGAUGAUAGGUAGGGGUUCUGAGAGGAAGGUCCCCCACAUUGGAACUGAGACACGGUCCAAACUCCUACGGGAGGCAGCAGUGAGGAAUAUUGGUCAAUGGACGAGAGUCUGAACCAGCCAAGUAGCGUGAAGGAUGAAGGUCCUACGGAUUGUAAACUUCUUUUAUAAGGGAAUAAACCCUCCCACGUGUGGGAGCUUGUAUGUACCUUAUGAAUAAGCAUCGGCUAACUCCGUGCCAGCAGCCGCGGUAAUACGGAGGAUGCGAGCGUUAUCCGGAUUUAUUGGGUUUAAAGGGUGCGUAGGCGGUUUAUUAAGUUAGUGGUUAAAUAUUUGAGCUAAACUCAAUUGUGCCAUUAAUACUGGUAAACUGGAGUACAGACGAGGUAGGCGGAAUAAGUUAAGUAGCGGUGAAAUGCAUAGAUAUAACUUAGAACUCCGAUAGCGAAGGCAGCUUACCAGACUGAAACUGACGCUGAUGCACGAGAGCGUGGGUAGCGAACAGGAUUAGAUACCCUGGUAGUCCACGCCGUAAACGAUGCUCACUGGAUCUUGGCGAUACACUGCCAGGGUUCAAGCGAAAGUAUUAAGUGAGCCACCUGGGGAGUACGUCGGCAACGAUGAAACUCAAAGGAAUUGACGGGGGCCCGCACAAGCGGAGGAACAUGUG